GAUGAACGCUGGCGGCGUGCCUAAUACAUGCAAGUCGAGCGAACGGACGAGAAUCUUGCUUCGUGGAUGUUAGCGGCGGGCGGGAGAGUAACACGUGGAUAACCUACCUAUAAUAGGGGGAAAAUUUGGGGAAUGGGGAGCUAAUAGCAGAGGAUAUCUUGAACCGCAGGGGGCAAAGGUGAAAGACGGUGUUGGUGGAACGAAUAGAUGGAUCCGCGCUGGAUUAGGUAGUUGGGAAGGUAACGGCUUAGGAAGGGAAGGAUGCAUAGACGACCGCUGAGGCUGAUAGGCCGCACUGGAACUGGACCACGGUCAAGACUACUACGAGAGGCACCAGUAGGGAAUGUUCCGCAAUGGGCGAAAACCUGACGGAGCAACGCGGCGUGAGUUAUGACGACGCUCGGAUCGUAAAACUCUGUUAUUAGGGAAGAACCUAUGUGUACUUAAAUGUACAGAUCUUGACGGUACUUAGUAAGAAAGCCACGGCUAACUACGUG
rnacentral:rRNA from 1 species